rnacentral:rRNA from 1 species
UACGUAGGGGGCAAGCGUUGUCCGGAAUCAUUGGGCGUAAAGCGCGCGUAGGCGGCCCGGUAAGUCCGCUCUGAAAGUCCAGGGCUCAACCCUCGAAUGCCGGUGGAUACUGUCGGGCUAGAGUGCGGAAGAGGCGAGUGGAAUUCCUGGUGUAGCGGUGAAAUGCGCAGAUAUCAGGAGGAACACCAAUUGCGAAGGCAGCUCGCUGGGACGUAACUGACGCUGAGACGCGAAAGCGUGGGGAGCAAACAGG